CGUCGGCCUCAUAAACUAUAAGAUCUAAUAAGGAUCGGCCAGGCAUAGGCGGGUGUGCUCUAUUUUGCCAGCUCAUCAAAGGUCGGCCCAUGAGUUUGCUCACGACCGAAGGCCGAUGCCGCUCUUUUCUGUUUGAAUUUGGACGGUUAUUCGUCUCUUAGCAACCCACCAGAGAGAAGGCGACUCAUCCGGGACAUCUGUGGCGUUCAGGAGUUGCCAUGGAAACGGGGCGGCAACAGGACACCUGACAGGAAAACUCGGUCUCUCGCUAAUGUUGUCACUGCUUUUAGGUUUCUGUCGAAUAUUUACUUUAUAGAAAUGGUUUAAUGUCUUCGAAAAAGUCCGUUAGCAUCUCACAGACGAGGUAGGCUAACUUUAGAGAUUGAGCUCUUGUUUAUGAAACUUUGGGCUUUUAAUCAAAUCUUCUCGUGUGUAUAUAGCAGGUUUUGACUGAAGUGUAAAGGUUUUACUGCCAUUUUGACUAUGGGUUAUUGGAAGUAGGCAAAUUUAUUUAACCUAAAUGGCUGAAAACAAGUUCAAAUGCGUUUUGAUCUUUUAAGUUAAACGAAUAUUGAUAAAAAUGGUUCUGUGGUUUCAGGAGGACAGAAAUAAACCCUCCACAACAGAUGGGAAGCUGCAAGAUUUUUCCAUGCUGAUGGCCUGCUGCACAUCAACAGACUCAGUGAACCUCCUUCUCCAAAGUGCUAUAAACCAUUGGACUAGUUACUAGAGUUUACGCCAGUUCCAGAUUGGAUCCAGCCUCACUUGUGAAGACUUCAGAUGAUGACAACACUCAACAAGACUUCAGAUGAUGGCAACUGGACAUACAAAACUGACAAAUAUUAUUCUUAUAUUGCCUUUACGGGUAAGUUUGACGAUUUUCAACCUGCUUUGUAUUACUGCAGUGUUUCUAAUAUCUGUAAAUGAACAAUAUUUAAUCUUUCUCUGAGUUAUGUGUACCUAUCCCCUUUUAUUUGUAAGCAACACUCUGCAGGAUGAAGAAAAAGAAAUGACAAAAUGGCAAAAACGCACUUUUUGGAUCAUCAAAAUGCUGAGUUUUGCUGACAAAUAAACUGGGUAUCUCUGAGAAAGAUUAAACAUUGUUCUUUUACAUGUAUUUCCAACAUUGUAACAAUACAAAUUGGAUUGAAAAUUGUUGAACUUAGCCUUUAAUAAUCUUAAAGGAUAGUGUGUGAGCACAUGACUAGA